GACAGAGGGUGCAAACGUUGCUCGGAAUCACUGGGCGUAAAGGGCGUGUAGGCGGGUAGGCAAGUCGGGCGUGAAAUCCCUGAGCUCAACUCAGGAACUGCACUCGAAACUGCUUAUCUUGAGUGCCGGAGAGGAAGCGGAAUACCUGGUGUAGAGGUGAAAUUCGUAGAUAUCAGGUGGAACACCAGUGGCGAAGGCGGCUUUCUGGACGGUAACUGACGCUGAGACGCGAAAGCGUGGGGAGCAAACAGG
rnacentral:rRNA from 1 species